rnacentral:lncRNA from 1 species
GAGGUUGGGCUGGCUGGGAUUUUGUUCCAUCCUGGAGCAACAAAUCCCACAGGAUUUUGUGGGUUUGGGGAGGUUUAAUUGGGGAUACACAAAUAUUCCCAGAACAAGUCACAGGGAUGUAACUCCAUGAGGGAAAAGGAGGAGAAGAUUUUAGCCAAAAUCCAAGGAUUUUGAAUGAAGAAAGUUCUCAGAAAUUAAGGAUGGAAGGAGCUGCAGCUCCAGACUGAGAAGAUUCUCCUGCGUGGAAGUGUCUCCCACUGUUCAACUGCUGCAGGUUUUUAUUUCUGGAAUUCCCUCUCUUUCUCAUUUGGAAAUUCACCUUUUUAUUGGAAGAAAUCUUUCUUUGGAGAGAGACAAAGGACAGGGUGAGGAAUCCUGAAGGUGUCCCUGUCCUUGCCCAUGCCCAGAGCAUCUCUGUGCACU